ensembl:lncRNA
AAAAGUUACCCAAAGAGGGGAUUCAAAUGGGCAGACUCGGAAGCAUCCUUNGGGGCCCCGUCCCCAGAGCUGGAGAGCCCACACUCCCCACCUCCCCCAUGCACGUUGAUGCACGGACAGUGUCUCUGCGAUGAGCCAGCAAAAAAGCAGAACUAGGGUCUCAGCUCCUUCCCAGAUGCCAGAAAGCCGCAGGCAUUUCUGAGCUCGGGGAGGAGGGCCUGGUUGGGAGUGUUUUCGAAAGGCUUCCGGGGGAAGGGCGAUGGCAGAGUGCGAGGGGGUGGCGUGUGGCCAGCCGGCAUGGCACACCCGUGGGUCUGAGCGCAGAAAGGAAAACAGCCCAGAAUUCUGCACAUGCAUUUCCCGGGAGCAUUCCCGAAGCUAGAAACGGGGGUCCAGGCGGGCUCCUGGGGCGUGUCUCCCCAGGUUCCUGCAGGACAAGGACUCCUCAGAGGUCAGGGAAGGCUUUGUUGUCAGGCGCAGUGUGCAAAGCCUGGGUAGCAGUUUGCAAAGCGAAAGUAACACUGGGCUGGCUUGCUCGGCGGGGGGAGGCUGGGGCUCGGGGUUAAAUAGGGGAAAAGAGCCACGGUCGGUCGAACACGUCCCCAAUGGUGGCUUGGGGAGCAGAGGGACAAGCAGGGUGCAGCUCGCUAUUCCUGCUGGCAGCUUGAGGCCGUGGCCGCCGCUUGGCACAGUCAGCGUGACUUCGACUUGGCCGACGCUCUGGAUGACCCCGGUGAGUGACCUUAUUUCGUGGGCUCUUUGCUUCUGUACCGGCUUGGUGGUUGCUUGGGGGUCUGGGGUGCCUCCCUCCCAGCGGGUUCUCCACCCACAUCCAUGCACGGGGCUGCUCGCUUUCCCUGGAAAUGGGGCGUGGGAUUGGAGAGACCCCCACGUCCUGUCUGCAGCAACCUUGAGCCCAGCUUGACGUUCUUGCUGCCACAAACCUGAAUAUUCAGCUCCUGGACCAUACAGGAGGGUCCGAGUUCAGGUCUAGCUGGGAGGAAGGGGUGUGGUGGGCGGCACGCACACAGGGCCAGAUGGAGGGUCUUCUUUGGAAAGAAAGACAAACUCAUGUCUGCUCUGAGCAAAACCAUCAGCGGGUUCUGGAUGCAGCAGCAAUCAGCAGUCACUCAAUGCAGACAGACAAGGGGCAGAAGCAAUGAAGACAGGGUGGGCAUGGAGACCCCUACCCUACAAAGGACAAAGACACCCUGAUACAAAAGCACCUGUCCUGAUUUUCCCUGUGCAUGGAGGCUUUUGCGGAUAUGAACCACAGCAGAGCAGAUAGGGGAUGACGGUUCGUGCAGUUGGAGAAGCCAAUGGUGGAUGCAUGUCGAGGUGGAAACUCUGUUUCCCCCGUCAGGCUGCAGUGGGNUGGAUGCAGCAGCAAUCAGCGGUCACUCAAUGCAGACAGACAAGGGGCAGAAGCAAUGAAGACAGGGUGGGCAUGGAGACCCCUACCCUACAAAGGACAAAGACACCCUGAUACAAAAGCACCUGUCCUGAUUUUCCCUGUGCAUGGAGGCUUUUGCGGAUAUGAACCACAGCAGAGCAGAUAGGGGAUGACGGU